UACGAAGGGGGCUAGCGUUGUUCGGAAUCACUGGGCGUAAAGGGCGCGUAGGCGGCUAUUCAAGUCGGGGGUGAAAGCCUGUGGCUCAACCACAGAAUUGCCUUCGAUACUGUUUGGCUUGAGACCGGAAGAGGUAAGUGGAACUGCGAGUGUAGAGGUGAAAUUCGUAGAUAUUCGCAAGAACACCAGUGGCGAAGGCGGCUUACUGGUCCGGUUCUGACGCUGAGGCGCGAAAGCGUGGGGAGCAAACAGG
rnacentral:rRNA from 1 species